rnacentral:rRNA from 1 species
UACGUAGGGCGCAAGCGUUAUCCGGAAUUAUUGGGCGUAAAGAGCUUGUAGGCGGUUUGUCGCGUCUGCUGUGAAAAUCCGGGGCUCAACCCCGGACUUGCAGUGGGUACGGGCAGACUAGAGUGUGGGUAAGGGGAGACUGGAAUUCCUGGUGUAGCGGUGAAAUGCGCAGAUAUCGGGAGGAACACCGGUGGCGAAGGCGGUUCUCUGG